UGUUGUAAGUAAUGAAGAGCGUACGGUGGAUGCCUUGGCACCAGGAGCCGAUGAAGGACGUAGGAGGCUGCGAUAAGCCUCGGGGAGCUGUCAACCGAGCUGUGAUCCGAGGGUGUCCGAAUGGGGAAACCCAGCACGAGUGAUGUCGUGUUACCUGCACCUGAAUAUAUAGGGUGUGUGGAGGGAACGUGGGGAAGUGAAACAUCUCAGUACCCACAGGAAGAGAAAACAAUUGUGAUUCCGUGAGUAGUGGCGAGCGAAAGCGGAUGAGGCCAAACUUUGUGCGUGUGAUACCCGGCAGGGGUUGCGUAUGGAGGGUUGUGGGGUUUGUUUUGUCGAUUCUGCCGGAUCGGCCGACAGUAAGAAAUCAUGGUGUUAGUCGAAGUGGUCUGGAACGGCCUGUCGUAGAGGGUGAGAGUCCCGUAGACGAAAAUACUGUGACUGUCGUAGCGAAUACCCAAGUAGCAGCGGGCCCGUGAAAUCUGCUGUGAAUCUGUCGGGACCACCCGAUAAGCCUGAAUACUCCCUGGUGACCGAUAGCGGACUAGUACCGUGAGGGAAAGGUGAAAAGUACCCCGGGAGGGGAGUGAAAUAGUACCUGAAACCGUGCGCUUACAAUCCGUCAAAGCCUGCGAGUGACUUGUUCACUGUGGGUGAUGGCGUGCCUUUUGAAGAAUGAGCCUGCGAGUUAGUGGCAUGUCGCGAGGUUAACCCGUGUGGGGUAGCCGUAGCGAAAGCGAGUCCGAAUAGGGCGUAUCACCGUGAGGUGUGUAGUGGCGUGUUCUAGACCCGAAGCGGAGUGAUCUACCCAUGGCCAGGUUGAAGCGACGGUAAGACGUCGUGGAGGACCGAACCCACUUAGGUUGAAAACUGAGGGGAUGAGUUGUGGGUAGGGGUGAAAGGCCAAUCAAACUCCGUGAUAGCUGGUUCUCCCCGAAAUGCAUUUAGGUGCAGCGUCACGUGUUUCUCGUCGGAGGUAGAGCUACUGGAUGGUCUAGGGGGCUUACCGGCUUACCGAAAUCAGCCAAACUCCGAAUGCCGAUGAGUGAGAGCGUGGCAGUGAGACUGCGGGCGAUAAGGUUCGUAGUCGAGAGGGAAACAGCCCAGAUCGCCAGCUAAGGUCCCUAAGCGUGUACUAAGUGGAAAAGGAUGUGGGGUCGCGAAGACAACCAGGAGGUUGGCUUAGAAGCAGCCACCCUUGAAAGAGUGCGUAAUAGCUCACUGGUCAAGUGAUCCUGCGCCGACAAUGUAGCGGGGCUCAAGUACACCACCGAAGCUGCGGCACUCACACAAUAGCCCGCAUUCCCUUUACGGAGGGUCUGCCAGGUGUGUGGGUGGGUAGGGGAGCGUCGUGCAGCCGUGGAAGCAUCGGAGUGAUCCAGGUGUGGAGGCUGUGCGAGUGAGAAUGCAGGCAUGAGUAGCGAAAGACGAGUGAGAAACUCGUCCGCCGAAUGACCAAGGGUUCCUGGGCCAGGUUAAUCCGCCCAGGGUGAGUCGGGACCUAAGACGAGGCCGACAGGCGUAGCCGAUGGACAACGGGUUGAUAUUCCCGUACCCGUGUGAACGCGCCCAUGGUGAAUCAGUGAUACUAACUGCCCUGAAUCCCGGUGACUGAUCUCUUUCGAGAGUGAGGCGUCGGGUGGAUGCGUGGGACCUGAUCUGGUAGUAGCCAAGCGAUGGGGUGACGCAGGAAGGUAGCUGGGCCAGUCAGUGGUUGUACUGGUGUAAGCCUGUAGGGCGAACGGUAGGCAAAUCCGCCGUUCAUUCAAGCCUGAGAGGUGAUGCGUAGCCGAUUGAGGUGAAUUCAGUGAUCCUAUGCUGCCGAGAAAAGCCUCUAGCGAGCUUUCACACGGCCCGUACCCCAAACCGACACAGGUGGUCAGGUAGAGAAUACUAAGGCGAUCGAGAUAACUAUGGUUAAGGAACUCGGCAAAAUGCCCCCGUAACUUCGGGAGAAGGGGGACCACGCUCGGUGAUCAUCCUUGCGGUGUGAGCUGGGUGGGGUCGCAGAGACCAGUGAGAAGCGACUGUUUACUAAAAACACAGGUCCGUGCGAAGUCGUAAGACGAUGUAUACGGACUGACGCCUGCCCGGUGCUGGAAGGUUAAGAGGACCGGUUAACUGCCCUUGUGGUGGUGAAGCUGAGAAUUUAAGCCCCAGUAAACGGCGGUGGUAACUAUAACCAUCCUAAGGUAGCGAAAUUCCUUGUCGGGUAAGUUCCGACCUGCACGAAUGGCGUAACGACUUCUCAGCUGUCUCAACCAUAGACUCGGCGAAAUUGCAUUACGAGUAAAGAUGCUCGUUACGCGCGGCAGGACGAAAAGACCCCGGGACCUUCACUAUAGCUUGGUAUUGGUGUUCGGUUCGGUUUGUGUAGGAUAGGUGGGAGACUGUGAAGCGGUGACGCCAGUUACUGUGGAGUCGUUGUUGAAAUACCACUCUGAUCGUAUUGGAUACCUCAACCUCGGACCAUGAUCUGGUUCAGGGACAGUGCCUGGUGGGUAGUUUAACUGGGGCGGUUGCCUCCCAAAAUGUAACGGAGGCGCCCAAAGGUUCCCUCAGCCUGGUUGGCAAUCAGGUGUCGAGUGCAAGUGCACAAGGGAGCUUGACUGUGAGACUGACAGGUCGAGCAGGGACGAAAGUCGGGACUAGUGAUCCGGCACCGGCAUGUGGAAGCGGUGUCGCUCAACGGAUAAAAGGUACCCCGGGGAUAACAGGCUGAUCUUCCCCAAGAGUCCAUAUCGACGGGAUGGUUUGGCACCUCGAUGUCGGCUCGUCGCAUCCUGGGGCUGGAGUAGGUCCCAAGGGUUGGGCUGUUCGCCCAUUAAAGCGGCACGCGAGCUGGGUUUAGAACGUCGUGAGACAGUUCGGUCUCUAUCCGCCGCGCGCGUAAGAAACUUGAGGAAGGCUGUCCCUAGUACGAGAGGACCGGGACGGACGAACCUCUGGUGUGCCAGUUGUUCCACCAGGAGCACCGCUGGUUAGCUACGUUCGGAAGGGAUAACCGCUGAAAGCAUCUAAGCGGGAAGCCUGUUCCAAGAUGAGGUUUCUCACCCCCACGAGGGGGUAAGGCCCCCGGCAGACCACCGGGUUGAUAGGCCAGAACUGGAAGUCGGGUAACCGAUGCAGGUGACUGGUACUAAUAGGCCGAGGACUUACCACA
rnacentral:rRNA from 1 species